UACGAACUGUGCAAACGUUAUUCGGAAUCACUGGGCUUAAAGGGUGCGUAGGCGGCUAUCUAAGCAGGGUGUGAAAGCCCCCGGCUCAACCGGGGGAAUUGCGUUCUGAACUGGAUGGCUGGAGUGAGAUAGGGGGUGUGUGGAACUUCCGGUGGAGCGGUGAAAUGCGUAGAUAUCGGAAGGAACGCCGGUGGCGAAAGCGACGUGCUGGACCUCUUCUGACGCUGAGGCGCGAAAGCCAGGGGAGCAAACGGG
rnacentral:rRNA from 1 species